rnacentral:lncRNA from 1 species
UCUCAAUGGUGCUCAUUCUUUCUUUGGUCAUAACUUCUCUCAUGGCCAUGACUGCCUCAGCUGGUAAUUUCUUUCAAGACUUUGAUGUAACAUUCGGCGAUCAGCGCGCUAAGAUACUAAAUGGAGGACAACUUCUCACACUCAACCUUGACAAGGCUUCUGGGUCUGGUUUCAAAUCCAAGAAUGAGUACUUAUUGGGCAGGAUUGACAUGCAGAUCAAGUUGGUCUCUGGCAACUCAGCUGGCACUGUCACUGCAUACUAUGUAAGAUAACUACUUUCAAUCCUACCCUUGUUCUUCAAUUAUUAUAUUAUUUUCAAUAGAUUUCCAUAAUUUCUUUGCUAAUUUAUGAAAUGAAACACAUGAAUAUAUGCAGUUAUCUUCUGAGGGUCCAACUCAUGAUGAGAUUGACUUCGAGUUUUUGGGAAACUUAUCUGGAGACCCCUACACUCUCCAUACCAAUGUUUUCAGCCAAGGAAAAGGAAACAGAGAACAACAAUUCCAUCUUUGGUUUGAUCCCACAGAGGCCUUCCACACCUAUUCAAUUGUCUGGAACAGCCAGAGGAUUAUGUAAGUAACACUCACCACCUUAUUGAAUUAAUAUGAUUUCUAUCAAACGCUUAACAUAAUUAACCUCUGCUAAUCAAUUACUUAAACAAAUUACUAAAACAUAUGCAACUGGUUAUUUAUAUGCAGAUUCUUAGUGGACAACAUUCCAAUCAGAGUGUUCACCAACUUGGAAACAAUUGGAGUUCCAUUUCCCAAAAACCAACCCAUGAGGAUUUACUCAAGCCUCUGGAAUGCUGAUGACUGGGCAACAAGAGGUGGACUUGUGAAGACUGACUGGACACAAGCUCCUUUCACUGCCUCUUACAGAAACUUCCAGGCCUCCACCACAUCUACUAACUCCUUAACAGAGCAGAGUGCAUGGCAGACUCAAGGGCUAGAUGCUGCAGGCCGAAACCGGCUUCGAUGGGUGCAACAAAAGUUCAUGGUCUACAACUACUGUUCUGACCUCAAACGCUUCCCACAAGGCCUCCCAGUUGAAUGCAGACGAUCGAGGUUCUAGUUUGAAAGAGAGAACAGAACCCAGAUGAUCACAUAUCCCCUGUUCUCUUGUGCAGCAUUCAUUUUUUGUGUUACUUAUUUUUAGUUAUGAAAUAUUCUUUCAUUCAUUAUGCAAAUAGAAAUUUUGUAACAAAUUAUUAAUAAGUUGAUUUUUUAAUUCUCCUGGUUUUUUUGUAUUCUUGAACAGAUUUGAAUUUUGGAACCAAGUUUUAAUAAUGAUCACAUGGUUCAAUAUCAUCUAAGAUAGCUUGACACAACUACAUUGUGGAAAACCACUUUGUUAGUACCAAAUAUUAGUGGGGCCCGUCCCAGAAGAGAGCCCAAAGAGUAAAGGUCCAGACUACUUGAGGAACUGGUCAAUAGACUUUUUAUUUUUUUAUUUUUAUUUUUUGGUUCAAUAGACUACAUUGGCAUUACCUCGCUUGAGGAGGUCCAAAAGAGAGGUAAGGCCAUCUCCAGCUAUGGGUUAUAUUUGUUAAUACAAAAUUCAUUUUUAGUCAUGGAUUAAAUAAAAUUAUGGCCACAUUUGGAAGUCACAUUUGGCCCUUUAGCCCUCCAACCAGGCCAAAUGUAGCUCAGUUUUGGCCUAGGUCAAAUUUAUAGUGGGCCUCAUCCAUGUGCUUUUCAACAACCAAUCAUUAAAGCACUCCUCACUCCCAUUUCUGAAAAUAAUAAAAUAUGAAGGACCCUAAAAUAUAGCCAUGCAUGGCUGGAGAUAGAAAAAUUUAGCCUUGCACUAUUCUAUAAAAAAAUUAAUAUUUUGGGGGGCUAAAUUUUUCACCCUGGACUACAUUUAGCCCUAUGGCUGGAGAUGGCCUAAAGGAAGGCUGCCCAUGCCUAAUCAGAGACCACGAGGCCAUGACCCAAGUGCACUAACCAACGUGCCUCUCUCUUAGAGGCCUGCACGUGGGAGUAACAAGCGUCAGAAUAAGCCCAUGUCAUAUUCCAUUGACGUAUGUUCUUCUCGAAAAAGGGAAAAGAUACACGUCAACUUGUCACCAAUGAGAUGAUGCCACGUCAUCGACAACUCAAUAGUCCCACAUAGGAAAAAGACAACUCAAAUGUCUCAUUCUCCUUAUAUUGAGUACUUUUCACCUAAAAAGGGAAUCUGAACUUUCUCCACACUUGAGUACAAUACUUUUAAAAGCCUCCUUUGAGGAAGAAAGACUGACUUAGGCAUCGGAGGGUGGUCAGUGAACCCACCAUAAACACACUUGACAAAGAAUCAAAGAACAAAACAUCAUACACUUCAUUAAUUAAUCAAGCAAUUAAAUGUUCUUAAACUCUUGUUUUGUUGUUCCACAAGUGGUAAUUAAGUUAAUCAACCAAUUGGGUGUUAGUUGGAUUGGUACAGGCCUUUGGUUUGGUCUGCUCCCAAAUGGUCCUGAGUUCAAGCCCCCAUGAUAUCUGUAUGUGUGAGUUUUUCACUUCCCUUCCUAAAUUUGAUAAUUAUGUUAAAUUAGUGCCAAAGUGAAAUUUUCAUUUCAAGUUGAUAAUGCUCUACUUGUAGUUGUAUAGCGUUCUUGUUCCUACUUAAAUGCCAUCUUUGGUGUUGGAAAUAUAGUGGAUGCAGGUUAUGGUUCCAUUAAAUAAAGUUAGUGUUUCAUAGCAUGUUAUAGCAACGUCUUUUUUUAGACUUUAUUUGCUUCCACAAGCGGUUUGCAAAGGGGAAAUAUAAAUAAAUCGUGUCGAUACAGUGAAUCCUAAUGAUAUGUUGAUGCUAGUAUGCGUCUUGCACAUGACCGACCAGUCGUGUAGUAGUGAACCUCCCCUUCUUAACUAUCAAGACAAUCCGAUCAGCAGUGGUGGAUCUGUUAAGGCGCAAGGAGAUGCAUAGAAAAAUCAUUAUAGAGACUCUGCUCAGCCUGGGAUGUGCACUCUAGGUGUUCGACGUAAAGCCUAAACGAAGUCAGUCUGCUGUUGUGUACGUUGUUGUGUUGUGCUGCGUUGUUGCACAGUGCGCUUGUUUUAUUUAUUUAUUAUUAUUUAUAAAUCUUGGUCAAAAAUUGCACCUCCGUUAAAAAAUUCAUGGGUCCGUCAAUGCCAACCAAUCACCGCUAUUAUCAUCAAUUUUUUAUUUUUUUUUGGAAUUUCAGUAAUGUUAUUAAUCUAAAUGUUGGUGCCUAGGUUCGUAUAUAAAUAUAUAGAUCACAUUUAUAUAUUACAUUGUGUAAAACCUCUCUAAUUGGUGGAUUCCACCUCUUUAGAGAUGGUACACAAGAGAAAUAAUUACAUCACCACCAACCUCAGCAAACGCUCAUGUACUUUUUAUUUUUGUCCAUUUAUAUGUACACCAAAUGCAAAAAAAGAACAAAUAAUAAUUAAAAAUGCUUCACAAGCUAAACUGUCUUCACAUAAACUAAUGUCCUGUUUCCUAUGUUGCUUCCUGCUUUCUUAUAAGCCUAAAAAUGCAAAACUGUCUCCAGCUCAGCAAAUUGGUGAGGCACCGCCUAACCCAAAUAAAGCCAGGCAGCUUCCAUAUGGAGCUAGGCUUGUCUAAUUUGCAAACCCUGUUGCCAGUUUUCAACUUAUUAUUCAGAUGCUGCCAGCUUUCCUGUUCAACGCGGCAUGUAUACUCUAAGCCCCCCCAACACUUAUAUAUAAAGAGCUUCACAGCUCAAAUGAUACCAUCAAACAAAAACAGCCUAAACUCAACACUCAUUUCUCUUUAAAGCUAAUUCUCUUCUCUUGCUAGCUCUGUCUACAAUCUCACCAAAUCAAAAUGCCUUUUUCUUCUUCUUGUUCUAAGGUCUCAAUGGUGCUUGUGGUUUCUUUGUUUGUAACUUCUCUGAUGGCCAUGGCCGCCUCAGCUGGUAAUUUCUUUCAAGACUUUGAUGUAACAUUCGGCGAUGAGCGUGCUAAGAUACUAAAUGGAGGACAGCUUCUCACACUUAACCUUGACAAGGCUUCUGGGUCUGGUUUCAAAUCCAAGAAUGAGUACUUAUUAGGCAGGAUUGACAUGCAGAUCAAGUUGGUCUCUGGCAACUCAGCU